rnacentral:lncRNA from 1 species
AAUACUCAUCUCCACUAUUCAUCUCAGUGACCUCAAAAUAUUUUGCUUUGUUUACACUAAAAAUAUAGAAAGAAUGAUAACGCUUUUUUUCAAUUAUUGUUGCAGAAAGUACUAUAAUGAAAUUCAUUCUGGUCCCAACACCCUUGAUCAAAAGAAAAAAACACUGAAUUGUAGAACCUAAGUAGAGAGAGCCUCAUUCAUUUAAAAAAAAAGAUCACAAGAGGCCAGAGGGAAGGAUGACUGGAGUUACUGAGCCUGAGAAGUCUGCAGGCAGUACUGAAGCACCAUGUCCUCAGAAAAAUAAUAGUGAUGGGUUAUCCGAAUCCUGCAAAUUGUGCCAUUGACAACUUCUCUGAAUUUCAAUCCCUUUCCAAAUGCAAAAACCUUGAAAAUCCAAUUAGAACUAGAGAUGAUGCUACAUUGAUCUCAAUUAUGAGAGAUAGGCCUAGAAGAUAUCUAUUCUUCACUAUCCAGCUCAACAAUGACUAA